CCGGCGACCGGCGGACGGGGUGCGUAACGCGUAUGUAACCUACCUUUGACAGGGGGAUAACAUCGAGAAAUUGGUACUAAUACCCCAUAACAUCACCGGAGGCAUCUUCGGUGGUUGAAAACUCAGGUGGUCAGAGAUGGACAUGCGUUGUAUUAGCUAGUUGGUGAGGUAACGGCUCACCAAGGCGACGAUACAUAGGGGGACUGAGAGGUCAACCCCCCACACUGGUACUGAGACACGGACCAGACUCCUACGGGAGGCAGCAG
rnacentral:rRNA from 1 species